GACUCCAACCGCUCUGGUGGUCUAGUGGUUAAAGAGUCUGCCUCGAAUGCAGGAGGUUGUGGGUUCGAUCCCUGAUUGAGUCA